rnacentral:rRNA from 1 species
GUUGUAUGGUUAAGUGACUAAGCGUACACGGUGGAUGCCUUGGCAGUCAGAGGCGAUGAAAGACGUAGUAACUUGCGAUAAGCCCAGAUUAGGUAGUAACAACCAUUUGAGUCUGGGAUUUCUGAAUGGGGAAACCCACGUGCAUAAGCACGUAUCCUUACCUGAAUACAUAGGGUAAGGAGGCGAACCGGGGGAACUGAAACAUCUAAGUACCCCGAGGAAAAGAAAUCAACCGAGAUUCCGAAAGUAGCGGCGAGCGAAAUUGGACUAGCCCUUAAGCUUUACACGCGUUAGACGAACGGUCUGGAAAGUCCGACGAUACAGGGUGAUAGUCCCGUAGUUGACGACGUGUGUUCAGUGAAAUCGAGUAGGGCGGGACACGUGAUAUCCUGUCUGAAUAUGGGGGGACCAUCCUCCAAGGCUAAAUACUACUGACUGACCGAUAGUGAACCAGUACCGUGAGGGAAAGGCGAAAAGAACCCCUGUGAGGGGAGUGAAAUAGAACCUGAAACCGUGUACGUACAAGCAGUAGGAGCAGGCUUUGUCCUGUGACUGCGUACCUUUUGUAUAAUGGGUCAGCGACUUAUAUUCAGUGGCAAGGUUAACCAUCUAGGGGAGCCGUAGGGAAACCGAGUCUUAACUGGGCGUUCAGUCUCUGGAUAUAGACCCGAAACCAGGUGAUCUAGCCAUGGGCAGGUUGAAGGUUGAGUAACAUCAACUGGAGGACCGAACCGACUAAUGUUGAAAAAUUAGCGGAUGACUUGUGGCUAGGGGUGAAAGGCCAAUCAAACCUGGAGAUAGCUGGUUCUCCCCGAAAGCUAUUUAGGUAGCGCCUCGGACGAAUACUACUGGGGGUAGAGCACUGUUAAGGCUA